UAUUAAGUUGGUGCAAAAGUCAUUGCAGGUUUGCCAUUGAAGUACUGCCAAAAACUGCAAUUACUUUUGUGCCAACUAAAUAAUAU
rnacentral:miRNA from 1 species